rnacentral:rRNA from 1 species
GACGAACCACACGAACGUUAUUCGGAAUCACUGGGCUUAAAGGGUGCGUAGGCUGCGCAGAAAGUUGGGUGUGAAAUACCUCGGCUCAACCGAGGAACUGCGCCCAAAACUACUGUGCUCGAGGGAGACAGAGGUGAGCGGAACUUAGGGUGGAGCGGUGAAAUGCGUUGAUAUCCUAAGGAACACCCGUGGCGAAAGCGGCUCACUGGGUCUCUUCUGACGCUGAGGCACGAAAGCUAGGGUAGCGAACGGG